AGUGAACGCUGGCGGUAGGCCUAACACAUGCAAGUCGAACGGCAGCACAGUAAGAGCUUGCUCUUACGGGUGGCGAGUGGCGGACGGGUGAGGAAUACAUCGGAAUCUACUUUUUCGUGGGGGAUAACGUAGGGAAACUUACGCUAAUACCGCAUACGACCUACGGGUGAAAGCAGGGGAUCUUCGGACCUUGCGCGAUUGAAUGAGCCGAUGUCGGAUUAGCUAGUUGGCGGGGUAAAGGCCCACCAAGGCGACGAUCCGUAGCUGGUCUGAGAGGAUGAGGAGCGACACGUGGAGAUAGAGGGGCAACAGACUGAGGCGGGAGGACGCAAGGGGGCGUGGUGGACGAUGGUCGGAGGGUUGAUACAGCAGUACGGAGGGGGUGAAGAAGGCCUUCGGGUUUUAAAGCGGUUUUGUCGGGAAAGAAAAACAGCGGGCUGACACCCCGCUGUUAGGACGGUACGCAAAGAGAAAGCAACGGAUAACUUCGUG
rnacentral:rRNA from 1 species